rnacentral:rRNA from 1 species
AGAGUUUGAUCCUGGCUCAGGAUGAACGCUGGCGGCGUGCUUAACACAUGCAAGUCGAACGAACCUUCGGGUUAGUGGCGGACGGGUGAGUAACGCGUGAGAAUCUGCCCUCAGGAGGGGGAUAACGGUUGGAAACGACCGCUAAUACCCCAUAUGCCGAGAGGUGAAAUGAAUUUCGCCUGAGGAUGAGCUCGCGUCUGAUUAGCUAGUUGGUGUGGUAAUGGCUCACCAAGGCUUCGAUCAGUAGCUGGUCUGAGAGGAUGAUCAGCCACACUGGGACUGAGACACGGCCCAGACUCCUACGGGAGGCAGCAGUGGGGAAUUUUCCGCAAUGGGCGAAAGCCUGACGGAGCAACGCCGCGUGAGGGAUGAAGGCCUCUGGGCUGUAAACCUCUUUUAUCAAGGAAGAAGAUCUGACGGUACUUGAUGAAUAAGCCACGGCUAAUUCCGUGCCAGCAGCCGCGGUAAUACGGGAGUGGCAAGCGUUAUCCGGAAUUAUUGGGCGUAAGCGUCCGCAGGCGGUCUUGUAAGUCUGUCGUUAAAGCGUGGAGCUUAACUCCAUUUCGGCGGUGGAAACUACAAGACUAGAGUGUGGUAGGGGCAGAGGGAAUUCCCGGUGUAGCGGUGAAAUGCGUAGAUAUCGGGAAGAACACCAGUGGCGAAGGCGCUCUGCUGGGCCAUAACUGACGCUCAUGGACGAAAGCCAGGGGAGCGAAAGGGAUUAGAUACCCCUGUAGUCCUGGCCGUAAACGAUGAACACUAGGUGUCGGGGGAAUCGACCCCCUCGGUGUCGUAGCCAACGCGUUAAGUGUUCCGCCUGGGGAGUACGCACGCAAGUGUGAAACUCAAAGGAAUUGACGGGGGCCCGCACAAGCGGUGGAGUAUGUGGUUUAAUUCGAUGCAACGCGAAGAACCUUACCAGGGUUUGACAUCCUGCGAAUCCCUUGGAAACGAGGGAGUGCCUUCGGGAGCGCAGUGACAGGUAGUGCAUGGCUGUCGUCAGCUCGUGUCGUGAGAUGUUGGGUUAAGUCCCGCAACGAGCGCAACCCACGUUUUUAGUUGCCAGCAUUUAGUUGGGCACUCUAGAAAGACUGCCGGUGAUAAACCGGAGGAAGGUGUGGAUGACGUCAAGUCAUCAUGCCCCUUACAUCCUGGGCUACACACGUACUACAAUGCUACGGACAAAGGGCAGCAAACUCGCGAGAGCUAGCAAAUCCCAUAAACCGUGGCUCAGUUCAGAUCGUAGGCUGCAACUCGCCUACGUGAAGGCGGAAUCGCUAGUAAUCGCAGGUCAGCAUACUGCGGUGAAUACGUUCCCGGGCCUUGUACACACCGCCCGUCACACCAUGGAAGUUGGCCACGCCCGAAGUCGUUACUCCAACCCUUGUGGAGGAGGACGCCGAAGGUGGGGCUGAUGACUGGGGUGAAGUCGUAACAAGGUAACC